AUUGUGGUUACAAAGGGUUGAUGGUGGAUGCCUUGGAAGGUCAAGGCGACGAAGGACGUGGCGUGACUGCGAUAAGCCCCGGGAAGGUGUCUAGCAACCUGUGAUCCGGGGAUGUCCGAAUCUGUAAACAGGGCCGCGCAAAACGCGGUCGAUCCCGAGCGCAAGCGAGGGAUAGCGAACCUGGGGAAGUAAAACCUUUCAGUACCCAGAGGAAAAUGAAACAAUUUCUUGUGUUUUACACAAGAAUAUUCCCUUAGUAGCGGCGAGUGAAAAGGGAAAUGGCCUAAACUGAGCACAUAAUUUAUUAUGUACUUGGGGUUACAAGAAAGCAGCGUUCAAAAUUUUCUUCCCUUACCCUGAACAAAUUUAUUUGCGAAUGGGCGGAGAGGGGAAAGUUUUGAGGGAGUAAAAAAAUUGGGUGUUAGCCAAAGUCUCCUGGAAAGGAAUACCAAAGAGGGUAAUAGUCCCGUAGGCGAAAACAUACCAGUCUCCUAGCUUCUUGCCGCCGAUGAGGCGGGUGUGCCGCAAGGCACAUUUCUUAAGUACCCUGCUAAACUAAAAUUGCGGGGGAAAUCGGCAGGACUACAUUCUGCCAAGGCGAAAUACUUGACCUUACCGAUAGUGAACUAGUACCGUGAGGGAAAGGUGAAAAGCAGCCCGUUGAGGGCGAUGAAAUAGAACCUGAAACCAUCAAACCUACAAAGAGUCGGAGCCCCGAUCGCAAGAUCGUGGGUGACGGCGUACUUUUUGGAGAACGAGCCAACGAGUUGCCUUUACUACUUUGUCUAACCGCGUCAGACGCGGGAAGGCGUAGCGAAAGCGAGCGUUAACAGCGCGCAAAAAAAGUGGAGAAGGCAGACCCGAAGCCAAGCGAGCUUACCAUUGUCAGGGUGAACCCAAGCGAAAGCGAGGGGGAGGCCCGUACCUGUGAGCCGUGCAAUACUCUAGGACGAACAGUGGUACGAAGAGAAAACCUAAACGAGCUUGGUAAUAGCUGGUUCUUCCCGAAAUAGUUUUUGGACUAGCCUCGCCAUAAAUAUUUUUCAGGGGUAGAGCACUGAAAAGAAUAUCUUGGCUUUUUGCCAGGUACUCUUAUCAAACUCCGAAUACUGAAAAAUUAGGCGGGAGUAAGAACCUGGGCGCUAAGGUCCAGGCUCAAAAGGGAAACAGCCCAGAUCUUCAUCUAAGGUCCCCAAGUUUGAGCUAAGUGCUUGCAAGGAAGUGAAUUCCCCCUGAUAGUCAGGAGGUGAGCUUAGAAGCAGCUAUCCUUUAAAAAGUGCGUAACAGCUUACUGACUAAGGGUUUUUGCACCAAAGAUUAACGGGGCUAAAGCUCAACACCGAAGAUAAGAACCGCUGUGUUUCACUAUUGUUCGACACUGACAGUGUAGUGGCGGGCAGCAGCGAAACACAACGGUGGUAGGGAAGCGUCCUUUGCUCAGCGAAGGUGAAUCGUAAGAUUUGCUGGAGAGCAAGGGAGUGAGAAUGUUGGCAUGAGUAACCGCAAUCCGGGUGAAAUCCACGGACACCGAAAGCCUAAGAUUUCCUUGGCAAUGAUUUUCAGCCAAGGGUUAGGCGGACCUAAUCGCAAGACCAAAUGGCCUUGGGAGAUGGACAGCCGGUUAAUAUUCCGGCCCUCUUGUUGUUUUUCGAAGGGUGACGCAGUCGAAAUUCUUGGAAGGAUUAUCGGAUUUCCGAGAGUUGGGAAUUUAUUCCCGACCGAUCCAAGGACAAGAUUGCCAAGAAAAACCCCUGAGAGUUAAAGCAACUUGAUCCGUAUCGCAAACCGACACAGGUAGGCAGGUCGAGUAGACCAAGGUGAACGGGUGAAAGUUCCUGAAGGAACUCGGCAAAAAAGCUACUCGUAAGUUAUCGAGAUGAGUUUCCCCAGCCCGCAAGGGUUUGGGGGCGCAGCGAAAGUUCUCUUAGCGACUGUUUAUCAAAAACACAGGCUCCUGCUAAAACUCGUAAGAGGAAGUAUAGGAGCCGAGGCCUGACCAGUGCUGGAACGUUAAAGGUCAAGGUCGAUUGCCAAUUUAUUGGUGAUUGGCUUAUGGCCCUAAGCGCCAGUGAACGUCCGCGGUAACUCUGACCGUGUUAAAGUAGCGUAACCCCUUGUCGGGUAAGUUCCGACCCGCAUGAAAGGUUUCACGACUAAGAGACUGUCUCCAGGAAUCGCCCGGUGAAAAUGCAAUGGGGGUGAAGAUGCCCCCUACCUGCGGCUAGACGGAAAGACCCCGAGAGCUUUACUGUAAGGUGGUAUUGAGUUUUGGGUUUGGAUGCGUAGCGUAGCGAGGAGGAUUUGAAGUCCCGUUUUCGGACGGGAUGGAUCCGACAAUGAAACACUCGUCUUUUAAACUCUUAAUUCUAACCCCGCUGUUGAAGCGAGAAACAGUGCCACCCUGGCAGUUUAAGUGGGGCACUUGCCUCAUAAAAAGUACUUGAGGCGUUUAAAGGUCGGCUAGCUCCGGAUGGAAAUCGGAGCGAUAGGGCAAAGCCAUAAGCCGGCUUUACUGCAAGGCGUGCAUGCCGCGCAGUUGGGAAACCAGAACUUAGUGAACCGAUGCGUCAUAGUAGAAAGCGCAAAGAUUACCGGAUAAAAGUUACCUCGGGGAUAACAGGCUGGUAGGGCCCGCGAGUCCACAUCUACGGCCCUGUUCGGCACCUUAACAAAUCGGGGUGCUAUGCCAGUAAUGGCAUACCUGGAAUAUUUACCCACUAAAUAUUCCGAAAAAAUGGCUUAUUUCGAGCGAAGCAAGAAACAAGCUUUGCUUACUUCCGAAAGGAAGAGCCAAAUCUUGGCUUAUAACGGUGGACUCCAUAUGGUAAAAUAACUAUAUGGACAAUACCGUGGGAAGUCUUGCACAGGAACAAAAAUCUUUGAUAAUCGGCGCCAUUUUAGGCGAUGGUUAUUUGAGAAUUGUUCCAGGGAGAAAAAAUGCAUUUUUAGAAACAAAUCAUUCUAUCAACCAAAAGGAUUACGUUGACUGGAAAUACAAUAUUCUGCGAUCAAUUGUAAAAAAUGGGCCGAAAGAAAGGAUGGGUAACGGCCAAAGGAUAGCUUAUAGGUUUUAUACCCAAUGCCUUCCAGAGAUAACAGAAUUAUUUUACCGUUUUUACACAAACGGUAAAAAGAAAGUUCCAGACAACCUAGCAAUAGAUAAGUUAAGUUUAGCAGUUUGGUUUAUGGAUGAUGGCUCUAAAAGCAGAAGCUCUGUGUAUCUAAACACACAGCAAUUUUCUCUCGAAGACCAGAUAAAGUUACAGAACAUAUUGCUUAAGCAGCACAAUAUUCAUUCUCGUCUUAAUAAAGACAAAAAGUAUUUCAGAAUUAGAGUAAUCAGUAGUGACGCAAAAAGAUUCUGUAAUCUGGUGAAACAGUUUAUUCCAAAAUCAAUGGAAUAUAAGCUGGUGCAAUGACCCCGUAGAGACUUGACCAAUUGUGGUCAGAGUUUUCUGAAAAAAUCAGAAAGCUAACACGCCAACUCCUAUUUACACAAUAGGAUGAAGAUAUAGUCCGAUCCUUCCGGUAACGGAAGACAAAUACGACAGCGAUGUCGGCUCAUCACAUCCUGGGGGUGAAGCAGCUCCCAAGGGUUGGACUGUUCGUCCAUUAAAGUGGUACGUGAGCUGGGUAAGUAAAAAUGAGCCCAGCUGUCCUUGAUAUCGAGAAUCCGAAAUUUCGGAUUAAAUAAAAGGACGAAAAACUGACUCAUAACGGUGGAGUCCGAAUGCUUAAGUUUAGUAUUAAAAAUGCUAUAAUUUAGGUAAUGGAUAAUAUCGUGGGAAGGCUAAAAUCAUUAUUUCCGCAUGAUCAAUUUCAGUUGAUCCUCGGUUCAUUGAUGGGCGAUGCUCGUUUAGAGUGUCGUUCAAAAAGCAUAAGAGCAAAACACACCGCUCGUUUAAGAAUUCAUCAAUCUGAUAAACAAAGAAAUUAUGUAUUUUGGAAAUACGAGAAAUUAAAAAACCUUGUUUCUAAGAAGCCAAGAUUCACAAAAGCUUGGCAUGAUAAAAAGAGAAACAAAGAUCAUUUUUCUUGGUAUUUCCACACCAAAACCAACGAAGAUUUGGGGUUAAUGCAUAAAUUGUUUUAUCGGAAUAAGACAAAAAUUAUAUCAAAGGAUUUAUUAGAAUUAUUAAAUCCAUUUGGAUUAGCAGUUUGGUAUAUGGACGAUGGUUCUAAUAACGGUGGUAAUAUAACUCUUAAUACUCAUUGUUUUUCUAAGAAGGAACAAAGGGUAAUGCAAAGCUUGCUUAAAAAUAAGUUCGGAAUAAACACAACGAUCGUAAAAGAUAGAAACAAGUUUAAGCUAGCAAUAGGUUCUUAUGAAUAUCAGAAGUUUAUAGAUAUCGUAAAACCCUAUAUUAUAGCAUCAAUGAACUAUAAGAUUUUAGUCCCCGUAACGACUUGAUCUCAAAUUGGGAUCGGAUAAUAGCUUUUUAGCUGUUAUAACACGUCAGUUCCGACUUAUCGGAAGUCGGAAAAGGUAUAGUCUAUACUGCUAGUAAUAGCAGAGAGAUUCACAAUUUGUGAAUAUAUGUCAAACCGUCGUAAGACAGGUUGGUCCCUAUCUACCGCAAGCGUUGAGUUUUGAGGGGAGUCUUCAACAGUACGAGAGGACCUUGAAGAACUGACCUCUGGUGUGCCAGCUGUUCUGCCAAGAGCAUUGCUGGGUAGCUAUGUCGGGCACGGAUAAGUGCUGAAAGCAUCUAAGCACGAAGCCAACCCCAAGAUAAGAACUCAUCAAGAUUUCCUGUAGACCACAGGAUUGAUAGGCUGCAGGUGUAAGCGCCGUAAGGUGUUUAGCCGAGCAGUACUAAUAAAUCGAAAUCUCAAUAU
rnacentral:rRNA from 1 species